rnacentral:rRNA from 1 species
UACGUAGGGUGCGAGCGUUAAUCGGAAUUACUGGGCGUAAAGCGCACGUAGCGGCGCCGUAAGUCAGGGGUGAAAGUCCCGGAGCUCAACUCCGGAACUGCCCUUGAAACUGCCAGUGCUAGAAUUCUGGAGAGGCGAGUGGAAUUCCGAGUGUAGAGGUGAAAUUCGUAGAUAUCUGGAGGAAUACCGGUGGCGAAGGCGGCAUCCUGGACCGGCAUUGACGCUGAGGAGCGAAAGCUA